rnacentral:rRNA from 1 species
ACGGAAGGCAGCAGUGGGGAAUAUUGCACAAUGGGGGGAACCCUGAACCAGCCAAGUCGCGUGAGGGAAGACGGCCCUACGGGUUGUAAACCUCUUUUGCGCGGGGGUAAAGUCGGGGACGUGUCCCCGAUUGCAAGUACCGCGCGAAUAAGGAUCGGCUAACUCCGUGCCAGCAGCCGCGGUAAUACGGAGGAUCCGAGUGUUAUCCGGAUUUAUUGGGUUUAAAGGGUGCGUAGGCGGGACGUCAAGUCAGUGGUGAAAUGGUGCGGCUCAACCGUAGCACCGCCGUUGAAACUGGGGUCCUUGAGUGCGAAUGAGGUACGCGGAACGUGUCAUGUAGCGGUGAAAUGCAUAGAUAUGACACAGAACACCGAUUGCGAAGGCAGCGUACUGGGACGCGACUGACGCUGAGGCACGAAAGUGCGGGGAUCGAACAGGAUUAGAUACCCUGGUA